AGAGGAAUAGCCAAGUGGUAAGGCAUGGGGUUUUGAUCCCCACAUUCGAAGGUUCGAUCCCUUCUUCCUCUUCCA
rnacentral:tRNA from 1 species